rnacentral:piRNA from 1 species
UUCCCUUGGUGUCUGGUUCUUGUCAACCUU